GACGAACGCUGGCGGUGUGCUUAACACAUGCAAGUCGAACGGUAAGGCCCUUUCGGGGGUCCACGAGUGGCGCACGGGUGAGUAACAUGUGAGUAACCUGCCCUCAUCUCUGGGAUAACAGUCGGAAACGGUUGCUAAUACUGGAUAUGAGCUUGCAAGGCAUCUUGUGGGUUGGAAAGAUUUUUUUGGUUGGGGAUGGACUCGCGGCCUAUCAGCUUGUUGGUGAGGUAGUGGCUCACCAAGGCUUCGACGGGUAGCCGGCCUGGGAGGGCGACCGGCCACAUUGGGACUGAGAUACGGCCCAAACUCCUAAGGGAGGCAGAAGUGGGGAAUAUUGCACAAGGGACGGAAGUCUGAUGCAGCAACGCCGCGGGCGGGAUGACGGUCUUCGGGUUGGAAACCGCUUUCAAGUGUGACGAAGCUUUUUGUGACGGUAGCAGUAGAAGAAGCACCGGCUAACUACGUG
rnacentral:rRNA from 1 species